rnacentral:rRNA from 1 species
AGAUAUUCAAUGCUGGAAGGCUUGGAUAUCGAAAGCGCAAGCGCCAGAGGGUGAGUCUGCGGCCUAUCAGGUAGUAGGUGGUGUAACGGACCACCUAGCCUAAGACGGGUACGGGCCUUGAGAGAGGGAGCCCGGAGAUGGGUUCUGAGACACGAACCCAGGCCCUACGGGGCGCAGCAGGCGCGAAACCUUCGCACUGCGCGAAAGCGCGACGAGGGGAGCCCGAGUGCCUCUCCAUUUCGGGGAGGCUUUUCACAAGCCUAAAAAGCUUGUGGAAUAAGGGCUGGGCAAGACGGGUGCCAGCCGCCGCGGUAAUACCCGCAGCUCGAGUGGUGGUCGCUUUUAUUGAGCCUAAAACGUUCGUAGUCGGCCUUGUAAAUCCCUGGGUAAAUCGGACCGCUUAACGGUUCGAAUUCCGGGGAGACUGCAAGGCUAGGGACCGGGCGAGGUCAGAGGUACUUUCGGGGUAGGAGUGAAAUCCUGUAAUCCCGAAGGGACCACCUGUGGCGAAAGCGUCUGACUUGAACGGCUCCGACGAUGAGGAACGAAGGCUAGGGGAGCAAACCGGAUUAGAUACCCGGGUAGUCCUAGCUGUAAACUCUGCCCGCUUGGUGUGGCUUGUACUUCGGGUGCAGGCUGUGCCGGAGCGAAGGUGUUAAGCGGGCUGCUUGGGGAGUACGGCCGCAAGGUUGAAACUUAAAGGAAUUGGCGGGGGAGCACCGCAACGGGAGGAUGCGUGCGGUUUAAUUGGAUCAACGCCGG